AGGUGGAAUGAGAGUGGGAGCAGCCACCGAAAUUUGGCAUCAGCAGAGACCAUAAGAGGUGGAAUGAGAGUGGGAGCAGCCACCGAAAUUUGGCCUCAGAAGACAACAAGAACUCUUCAUUGUGCAGGUGGAAUGAGAGUGGGAACAAUCACCGAAAUUUAGCCACAGAAGACACCAAGAGGACACACAUUCAGCUCUUCAUUCAGCAGGUGGAAUGAGAGUGGGAGCAGCUACCGAA